rnacentral:rRNA from 1 species
AUUGAACGCUGGCGGCAGGCCUAACACAUGCAAGUCGAGCGAGCGGCGGACGGGUGAUUAAUGUAUGGGGACUGCCCGCUAGAGGUGGCUAACUCCUAGAAAAGGUGGCUAAUACCGCAUCUUGUCGGAUAACCUAUAUGGGAUUAGCUAGUAGGUAAGGUAAUGGCCUACCUAGGCGACGAUCCCUAGCUGGUCUGAGAGGAUGAUCAGCCACACUGGGACUGAGACACGGCCCAGACUCCUACGGAGGCAGCAGUGGGGAAUAUUGCACAAUGGGCGCAAGCCUGAUGCAGCCAUGCCGCGUGUAUGAAGAAGGCCCUAGGGUUGUAAAGUACUUUCAGUCGGGAGGCGUUACCGACAGAAGAAGCACCGGCUAACUCCGUGCCAGCCGCCGCGGUAAUUC